rnacentral:lncRNA from 1 species
AUAUCCCAUGAUCAAACAUCCACAAUCCUAUACAGAAUCAAUUUCAAUAAUUAGAAAGAAUACGAAUACUAUAUUUUAAUGGUUUAGAUUGGGUCCGAUCAUCUAAUUUUAUCUAAUUAAAAUCUAAUUAGGACCUAAACGAUCCAAAGUUUGACUAUCAGAUCAAGUCAAAUUCGAAGUGAUAGGACCAAGGUUUCUUCAUCGAUUUCAUAAAAUCAAGUGGAGAGAGAAAAUCAGAUGAGAGAGAAUUCAUGAGGUACAAUUCGAAUUGAUCAGGUGACACAAUCCAACAUUACGAUGGGUCCAAUAUCUCGAUUGGUGAAAUCAACGUGAUCAAAUCAAGUCAUGGCUAGAUCGGAAUUAUGGAUGAU